rnacentral:lncRNA from 1 species
AGGGGUUGGGGGAGGAUGGUGAACUGUGGGUUGAGUUGGAGGUGUCUUUGGGACAUCCAAGCUGGAAAGACAGAUCUGGAAGUUCUGGGAAGAGGCUGGGGCUAGACGUAUUUGGAGCCUUCUGGGAACACACUGUAAUUAAAAUUGUGGAUGUGUAUGAGCUCGUCUGGAACAAGAGGAGGAAGUGAUAAGAGGGCUGGUGAGCCACGCAGAGAGGACCUAGUCCGCAAGGGGAUGGGUGUGGCCAGUGUGGAGGCAGACGCAGGGGAAUGUUUGAAAAGAAAGGUCACCUGGGGCCAUGAGAGCUGAGAAGUUGUCUGAGGCAGGCAGACUGGUUGGCAGGCUACUUCCAAAACCCAGGGCUGUGUGUGUGUGUGUGUGUGCGCGCGCGUGCGUGACACCUAGGAGGGGAACAGGUGGCCAAGGUGAGGGGGGCCAGAUUCCAGACACGUUCUCAGGUCAAGGAUGUGACCUGUAAAAUGUGGGAUGUGCAGAGAUGGGGGGCUCAAGCCCGCAUCACAGGCUUCUGUGAUUGUGAGACAGCGCUGUCCUUGGAUGAGCUGGGGAGCCUGGAGGAAGCCUGCAGUCAAGGCACGGGGGUCUGACGGGCAGCUGUGACUUCAGGCCUGAAGCUCAGGAGUGGUCAGCGCUGAAGGGGUGCACGCAGGGAGGGGCAGCCUGGAAGCUGGAGCCUAGGACUUGGCACACAGGAAGCUUUCAAUGACCGCUUGUGGAAGGACUGAGUGAAUGAAUGAAGAGCCGCCCCAGAGGGAAGGGAAUCAUGAGACAAGAGGCUGAGAGUUCAGUUCAGCUCAAACCAUGGUGGAUGGCAGCUCCCGCUGAGGGGUCGGAUACGACAGAUGGCAGAGCCUCGGGAAAGGACUGGCGAGGAGGCAAGAGGAGCCUCUUUUAAAAAAGAAGUCUGAUGAGUAAGGAGGCCCUGAGGCAGCUGGACAGAGAAGCAUUAGAAGAAAGAUUUUGUCGUGUGUGGAAAUUUAUAUGCCUCCCUCUCUC